rnacentral:rRNA from 1 species
UACAGAGGUCUCAAGCGUUGUUCGGAUUCAUUGGGCGUAAAGGGUGCGUAGGUGGCGCUGUAAGUCGGGUGUGAAAUCUCGGAGCUUAACUCCGAAACUGCAUUCGAUACUGCGGUGCUUGAGGACUGGAGAGGAGACUGGAAUUCAUGGUGUAGCAGUGAAAUGCGUAGAUAUGCGGAGGAACACCGAUGGCGAAGGCAAUCCCCUGGGCCUGCACUGACGCUCAUGCACGAAAGCGUGGGGAGCAAACGGG